UACGUAGGGUGCAAGCGUUAAUCGGAAUUACUGGGCGUAAAGCGUGCGCAGGCGGUUAUGUAAGACAGUUGUGAAAUCCCCGGGCUCAACCUGGGAACUGCAUUCGAGACUGCAUUGCUAGAGUAUGGAGAGGGAAGUGGAAUUUCCGGUGUAGCGGUGAAAUGCGUAGAUAUCGGAAGGAACAUCAGUGGCGAAAGCGACUUCCUGGACCAAUACUGACGCUCAUGUGCGAAAGCGUGGGGAGCAAACAGG
rnacentral:rRNA from 1 species